rnacentral:misc_RNA from 1 species
AACGAGGCCGACCUGCGGCUGAGUUACCUGCGGAGGGAUCAUUAACGAGUUAGGGUCUUCUAGGCUCGACCUCCUCACCCUAUGUUUACUGAACCUAUGUUGCUUCGGCGGGCCCGUCUCACGACCGCCGGGGGACCGUAAGACGUCCUCUGGCCCGCGCCCGUCGGUGGCCAAACUUUAAAUUCUGAUUAAACCGUGUUAAACUGUCUGAGUUCUAUUCUUAAAUUAAAGCAAAACUUU